rnacentral:rRNA from 1 species
UACGUAGGGGGCAAGCGUUGUCCGGAUUUAUUGGGCGUAAAGAGCUCGUAGGCGGUUCCGUAAGUCGAGUGUGAAAAAUCUGGGCUCAACCCAGUGGAGCACUCGAUACUGCGGUGACUAGAGUACGGUAGAGGAGUGUGGAAUUCCUGGUGUAGCGGUGAAAUGCGUAGAUAUCGAGAGGAACACCUGCGGCGAAGGCGGGUUGCUGGGCUGACACUGACGCUGACAGCGCGAAAGCUAGGGGAGCGAACGGG